rnacentral:lncRNA from 1 species
CUUACCAUGUGCUAAGUGAGCAACCUCUGGGCCCAGCGAGGCCGAUGGGUUAAUACGUGGAGAGGCUACGCGAGAGGACUGUGGGGACCAGGACCUCAGUGGGGCCCCAGAAAGCACCCGAGAGGGGCCUCCGAUCCUGCCUGGGAGGGAGGGGUUAGAGGAUUCCUGGAAGAAGGAGGACCUAAGCUGGGUGUUUCUAUUUUUUUAUUUUUAUUGGUUUCCUGAAACAUGAAAGU